rnacentral:rRNA from 1 species
UACGGGGGGAGCAAGCGUUGUUCGGAUUUACUGGGCGUAAAGAGCUCGUAGGCGGUUUGUCGCGUCUGCUGUGAAAACUCAGGGCUUAACCCUGAGCCUGCAGUGGGUACGGGCAGACUAGAGUGUGGUAGGGGAGAUCGGAAUUCCGUGGUGUAGCGGUGGAAUGCGCAGAUAUCAGGAGGAACACCGGUGGCGAAGGCGGAUCUCUGGGCCAUAACUGACGCUGAGGAGCGAAAGCAUGGGGAGCGAACAGG